rnacentral:rRNA from 1 species
UACGUAGGGCGCAAGCGUUGUCCGGAAUUAUUGGGCGUAAAGAGCUCGUAGGCGGCUUGUCACGUCGAUUGUGAAAGCCCGAGGCUUAACCUCGGGUCUGCAGUCGAUACGGGCUAGCUAGAGUGUGGUAGGGGAGAUCGGAAUUCCUGGUGUAGCGGUGAAAUGCGCAGAUAUCAGGAGGAACACCGGUGGCGAAGGCGGGUCUCUGGGCCGUAACUGACGCUGAGGAGCGAAAGCGUGGGGAGCAAACAGG